AGCUGGAGUCCUCACUAGGGGACCGCUCAGGGGCAGCGGCUCUGUGCCUCCCUCUCUGGGUUGCUGCUGCUGCUGACCUGAGAGCCUGCCGCUCAACUUUCCUCCCGCUGCUGCGGGCGCUUUGAUUCGCCCAUUUCCCUGCUCUGCUUGCGGUGGCUGAGGACUCUCGAGGCGGUUUCCAAGAAUUUCUAAUGUGAAAGGAAAAAGCCAGGAAGUGCCAAGGAGGUGCUGCUCCCCAUUGAUUGGCAUUGACCAUUCUGGGCCUUUCCCUCAAGCACUGGGUGAAGAUGAGCAGCCUGUCCCGAGCAUGACGUCAUUGGCAAAUGUCAUUGCUUCCCACCAGUCAGAGUGGGUCUCCUUCAAUGAUGAGCUGCUCGUGCCGGUUACUUCGCAGGGUGGCACAGAAGAGCCUCUGGAAAAGUGUUUUUCCUCCUCCGACACCUCCUCAGAAGACAACCAUAAUGUAGAUGGAGAGUUUCAGGACCUCUCACACACUGAGCUGAGUAAUGACGUGGACAAGCCUGGGGUGGACUCUGCAUCUGUAUCUCUGCUUGGGAACCAUGUGUGUCCCAAACCUGAUCUAUCUUCAUCUAUCAGUAACUGGGUUCAAUUUGAAGAUAUGCCAUGGACCAGCACUUUACCAGCUCACAUACAAACAGCCCUUCCAUCAAGAGCACCCUGCUGGACUUCUCCCUCCUCAGAUUAUUCUGAGAGACAGCCCCUUGCCUCAGAGAGCAGCUGGACGACCAACUCAGAGGACACCAGCAGCCAAAGCAUUGCCCCCUCCUACACAGAUUUGCAGUCGAUAAAUACUGAAGAUCUGACCAGUGGUGGGGCUUCUGCAGCAGACUCAGCUGACAAUUCCUCGUCUUUCCAGGAAGAUGAAGAGGUAGAUAUGGAGGCUGUCAACUGGCAGCUGAACAGCACCCCCAUGAAUGGGCACUCUCCAACCCCAACCACAGCUCGUUUCCCCAGCUGGGUGACUUUCGAUGACAAUGAAGUCAGCUCUGCUUCCCUCCAGAACCUUUCUCCCUUGAAACCAGACACCCCGCCAAUAGCAACGCAGACUGCAGAUGUGAACUGUAAUCUUGCUGCAUCCUUUAAGAAGAGGGAGCGCCCCAAGAGCACAUUGGUGGACCUCACUAAAGUUCAAAAGCUAGAUCUUUCCUCCUUAAGUAGGUUGCCUUCUGUUGGAACACCCCCCUGGAGUGCUACUAAUCCCUUCCUAGAUGAGUCUCUGAGGGAUGUCCAACCCUCACCCAUCAACCCGUUCAGCUCAUUCUUAGAGGAACGAGAUAGGCGUUCCCACAGCUCCUCUCUCUCCAGCGCUCCAGGCCAAAGCCAAAGAGACUCCCUUAUUAUCCUCUACCAAGAACCUGACACCAUCAGCUUUGAUGAGUCAAGCAAAAACUUAACCCACACAGAUGCUGUCGAGCAGCUCAAGCAGCUCCAGAUUGGGGAUCCAGAUCACCUGAGCAGCACAACUCUACCUGAUGAUGACCCCCUGAUGCCAUUUGAAGUGGAUGGCACAUUGUUGAACUUGGCCCCAUCUCAGCCCAAGGAUGGCUGGCCAAUGAUGCUCAGGAUACCAGAGAAAAAAAACAUCAUGUCAUCUAGGCAUUGGGGGCCAAUCUACGUCAAGCUGACUGCGAGUGGGUAUCUACAGCUUUUUUAUGAGAAGGGACUGGAGAAGCCCUUCAAGGAAUUCAAACUUGAGAUCAGUCAUGAGAUUUCAGAGCCCAAGCUCCAAAACUAUGAUGAGAAUGGAAGGAUACACAGCGUGCGUAUAGACCGCACCAUCUACAAGGAGAAAAAGAAGUAUCAGCCUAAACCAGCAAUCAGCCACGCAGCAGAAAGGGAACAAGUGAUAAAGCUAGGCACUACUGAUUAUGAAGACUUCCUUAGUUUUAUCAGCGCAGUUCAGGAUAUACUAAUGGACUUGCCAGCCUCAUCAGCAGCUCUGAGCACAGUAGGAUUAAACUAUCAAGAGGAAGAAAUCACUGUUGAUGUCAAGGAUGAGUUUCAUGGCAUCUUGGCCAAAGGAGACAAUAGGAUUCUCCAGCAUAGCGUGCUGACACAUAUACAUGUUCUCAGCUUCCUUUCUGGCCUUUCAGAAUGCAGACUGGGCCUUAAUGACAUCCUUAUAAAAGGGAAUGAAAUCGUUGCACGGCAGGAUAUUAUGCCCACCACUACCACUAAGUGGAUUAAGUUGUAUAACUGCCAGUUUCAUUCAUGUGUGGACGAGGAAAUGUUUAACAGCUCCCACGUUAUCCAGUUUAAUCCCUUGGAUGCCUGCCGAUUCGAGCUGAUGCGGUUCAGGACUGUGUUUGCUGAGAAGACUUUGCCUUUCACUCUGAGAACAGCAGCCACUGUCAAAGGUGCUGAAGUAGAGGUCCAGAGCUGGCUGAUGAUGUCCACUGGGUUCUCCUCCAACCGUGACCCUCUAACUCAGGUCCCCUGUGAAAAUGUGAUGGUCCGCUACCCAGUGCCAAAUGAAUGGGUGAAAAACUUCCGCAGAGAAAGUGUCCUGGGAGAAAAGUCUUUGAAAGCCAAGGUGAACAAGGGUGCCAGUUUUGGAUCAACCAGCGUGUCUGGUUCUGAGCCGGUAAUGAGAGUAACUUUGGGAACUGCCAAAUAUGAGCAUGCCUUUAAUUCCAUUGUAUGGAGGAUAAACCGACUGCCUGACAAAAACUCAGCUUCCGGCCAUCCCCACUGCUUUUUUUGCCACCUGGAGCUUGGCUCUGACCGGGAAGUGCCUUCCAGUUUUGUCCGCUAUGUGAACGUGGAGUUUGACAUGCCCACCACUUCGGCGUCCAAAGCCACUGUUCGGUCCAUUUCUGUAGAGGACAAGAGUGAUGUCAGGAAAUGGGUCAACUAUUCAGCACACUAUAGUUACAAGGUGGAAAUAGAACAGAAAAAGAACUUGAAUCUUGAUCUGAAGGGAGCAGAAAUUGAAAAUCCGAAGGAAUGUGCCAUGCAGUGAAGGAAGACUUGUCUGCAAGACCCAUGGGAGGAGCAGUAAUGUCAACGGACCCAGCUGAAGAGAACUACAACACCUAGCUUCUGCUGCAGCUAUCUAUCCUUUUUACAGGAGGAGAAAAUAAAUGUUGGAACCCCAAGUUUUCAUGGUAGUUGGGAAAGCUGUUCUGAGAGAAUGAUGUAGAGGGUUUGUGGUGGCAGGGGAGUAAAGGAGAGGAAAACAUGGCAGGAUACUAUGAGGUUAUAAUCUCAUCAGAGAAAUUUGAUAUUGUUUCACAAAGUCCUAUGACCAGGCCAGAGACUGAGUGCCCUGGAAAAUGUGACUGAAGGAGCUGCAGAAUCUGCCUGUCACUCAAAGAUUGACACUGGGAAUGAAGGACAAGGCAAGUGAAAAUUCAGGGCAAAAACUACAACAAACUUGAGGAUUUGUAUACCAAUAUGAAUGGAGUUGGACCUGCACCACCACAUAGUCAAGACUGAUUAUGCUACAGUGAUAGGAUGCUACAGUGAUAGGUGCACUAAAAGAUAUCUUAAAUAGACCCAGAUCCAACUUUGAGAGUGUCCAAAUUCUGAGAUCUUAUCUCUGUAUUGUAUAGAAUGGGUUUGGAGAUUGAGUACCAAUUAGCAAAGGGAAAAGCAAAUUAGAGUAACAGAAUUUAAAUGUGCUUUUAUUUUAUGUGUUUUACCCUGGGGGACCAAGGAAUUGCUCCUGAGCAGGAGACUGAGAGUUGGGAUUCUAAUCUUCAACCUACCACUUACUCAGUGAGCCUAAUUCUAAGAGGACUUUGCACCCCUUCAUGGGGUUUCAGGAAGUAUAAAUUAAUGCAGAAUUUGGUCCUGUGAGACCUUAAAUGUCAACUGGGCCCAAAUUUUCAAAAGUGGGCAUUAAUUUGGGUUACACUAACAGCCAUAAUGAGAAGGUUAUCCUUACUAUAUAAAACGGUUGAGAUCAUUUGGUCACAGUGCGUGGUAGGGAUGCUACAGUAUAUAUUAGAAACAAAUUCAUUCUUGUACUGGGAAUGGUUUGUUUCUGAACUAUCCAUCUGAGAACUCCUCCCGCCACCUUGUGGCCAGAUUCUAAAACUGACAUUCCCUCAAUGUGGAAAAGAAAUGGUAUUGUUAUGAAGCCACCGUGAAGGUUGUAACUAGCUUCCUGUUAUUAGCAGGGAAAUCUUUUGUGUAUGAUUUUCUGCCUAGAGAAAAGUUUCGUUUUUAUUUAAAGUUGGGGGUAAUUGAAUAAGACAAUCCCAAAAUAUGCCAGUUUGAUACAUCAGUGGUAAAUCACAUCUGCUUGCAUUUUCCUAAUUGUUCUUUGACAAGUGUGCGUCCUGACUUGAAGCCACAUCUACUGAUUCUCAGCUGUGUCCUUUAGCCACAAGAUCAUAUUUUCCCUGCCAUGUCCCCAGCAGACUUUAUAAAAUUUGCAGUGGCCUUUGCAUUCUUUACUCUGAAUGUCUCUGCUCAUUGGCCUUGGCGGUCUCUGCUCCUUAGCGGUCUCUGUUGACAUCAAGAUGAAAUAUUGCAUGUUGGGACAUGUUGUGUCUAUAAGGACACAUGUAUUGUUUCUUUAAAUUGGUAGCAGAAAACUAGGCAGGAGGGUGCUGGGGAAAGUUCUAGGCAGACGUUUUACAGUGAAGUGGAAAGAGUGAGUACAGUACCUUGAAAAAUAACGCUGUUGUGCUUAUUCUAAUAAGGUUCUUAUUCAGGAUUGGAAGAAAGUGACUCAGUCUGUGAUUCUUCACAAUUGUCACCUGACUGUGUCUUCCAGCCUCACUUCCAUAGUCA